rnacentral:lncRNA from 1 species
ACGGUUCCACAUAUCAAUACAGUAUUUAAGACUCCAUGUGAGCCUUGUAUCCAGGCAGAGCAAAUGCCUGAAUACCAUUCUGGGAGAGGUUCAGAUGAGGCUCAAAUUAAGGACUGAUUAUUAGCAGCAGGAUUGAGAGGCUGACCCAUUACCUCAAGCUUGGAAGCAAAGGAAUCAGGAGGGAAAGGCCCUGGGUUACAAAAGAGUUCCCAGGAAGAGGUGGGCAAGCUGGACACCCUGCGCUGACGCAACCUGCCUUCAGGCAUGCCCGGGA